rfam:Trichobilharzia regenti genome assembly, scaffold: TRE_scaffold0042699
ACCCAGCUGACGAGUCCCAAAUAGGACGAGAUGCGCAUCUUGGAU